AUGAACGCUAGCUACAGGCUUAACACAUGCAAGUCGAGGGGCAGCACAAGGAGCAAUCUGAGGUGGCGACCGGCGCACGGGUGAGUAACACGUAUGCAACCUGCCUGUAAGCGGGGAAUAACCCGUUGAAAGACGGACUAAUACCGCAUAAUACUAAAUUACUGCAUGGUAAUUUAUUUAAACAUUUAUGGCUUACAGAUGGGCAUGCGCAUGAUUAGCUAGUUGGAGAGGUAACGGCUCCCCAAGGCAACGAUCAUUAGGGGUUCUGAGAGGAAGGUCCCCCACACUGGUACUGAGACACGGACCAGACUCCUACGGGAGGCAGCAGUGAGGAAUAUUGGUCAAUGGACGAGAGUCUGAACCAGCCAAGUCGCGUGCAGGAAGAAUGUCCUUAAUGGAUUGUAAACUGCUUUUGCAGGGGAAUAAAGUGCAUCACGUGUGAUGUUUUGUAUGUACUCUGCGAAUAAGGAUCGGCUAACUCCGUGCCAGCAGCCGC
rnacentral:rRNA from 1 species